rnacentral:rRNA from 2 species
GGUUAAGCGACUAAGCGUACACGGUGGAUGCCCUGGCAGUCAGAGGCGAUGAAGGACGUGCUAAUCUGCGAUAAGCGUCGGUAAGGUGAUAUGAACCGUUAUAACCGGCGAUUUCCGAAUGGGGAAACCCAGUGUGAUUCGUCACACUAUCAUUAACUGAAUCCAUAGGUUAAUGAGGCGAACCGGGGGAACUGAAACAUCUAAGUACCCCGAGGAAAAGAAAUCAACCGAGAUUCCCCCAGUAGCGGCGAGCGAACGGGGAGCAGCCCAGAGCCUGAAUCAGUGUGUGUGUUAGUGGAAGCGUCUGGAAAGGCGUGCGAUACAGGGUGACAGCCCCGUACACAAAAAUGCACAUACUGUGAGCUCGAUGAGUAGGGCGGGACACGUGGUAUCCUGUCUGAAUAUGGGGGGACCAUCCUCCAAGGCUAAAUACUCCUGACUGACCGAUAGUGAACCAGUACCGUGAGGGAAAGGCGAAAAGAACCCCGGCGAGGGGAGUGAAAAAGAACCUGAAACCGUGUACGUACAAGCAGUGGGAGCACGCUUAGGCGUGUGACUGCGUACCUUUUGUAUAAUGGGUCAGCGACUUAUAUUCUGUAGCAAGGUUAACCGAAUAGGGGAGCCGAAGGGAAACCGAGUCUUAACUGGGCGUUAAGUUGCAGGGUAUAGACCCGAAACCCGGUGAUCUAGCCAUGGGCAGGUUGAAGGUUGGGUAACACUAACUGGAGGACCGAACCGACUAAUGUUGAAAAAUUAGCGGAUGACUUGUGGCUGGGGGUGAAAGGCCAAUCAAACCGGGAGAUAGCUGGUUCUCCCCGAAAGCUAUUUAGGUAGCGCCUCGUGAAUUCAUCUCCGGGGGUAG